GCUGUAGCUCAGUGGCAAAGCACUUGUUUUGUGUGCAGAAGGUCUUUGGUUCAAUCCCUGACAUCUCCA